UGUGUGUGUGUGUGCAGAGACAAAAGCUUUUGUGAAUGUGUGUGUCAGGCCGUCCUCUUUUCCCAGGCCAGAGGUCCGGAGAGGCCUCAUAUUUCUAGCUGCUGUCAGGCCGGGGUGAGAGGGAGAGACAACGAGGAACAGCUGCUUUCUACGAGGUGCCCUGGCUCCCUCAUACAGGCCCUUUGAUCCAGCCUGCCUUGGCCAGCCAACAGUCUCCCCCAGUGUGUGUGUGUGUGUGUGUGUGUGUGUGUGUGUGUUCAUGGGUGGGUGUAAUUGGCGUGGUGAGGGCCACAGGUGCUGGCUACCCACGCAACCUGGCGGCGAAACCCAAGUGGCAGAACGGGGGAACAAGUGACACCAAAAUCCGAUCUCUCNNNNNNNNNNGUGUGUGUGUGUGCAGAGACAAAAGCUUUUGUGAAUGUGUGUGUCAGGCCGUCCUCUUUUCCCAGGCCAGAGGUCCGGAGAGGCCUCAUAUUUCUAGCUGCUGUCAGGCCGGGGUGAGAGGGAGAGACAACGAGGAACAGCUGCUUUCUACGAGGUGCCCUGGCUCCCUCAUACAGGCCCUUUGAUCCAGCCUGCCUUGGCCAGCCAACAGUCUCCCCCAGUGUGUGUGUGUGUGUGUGUGUGUGUGUGUGUGUGUUCAUGGGUGGGUGUAAUUGGCGUGGUGAGGGCCACAGGUGCUGGCUACCCACGCAACCUGGCGGCGAAACCCAAGUGGCAGAACGGGGGAACAAGUGACACCAAAAUCCGAUCUCUCUCUUCAGCGCUCCUUCUUUCUUUGUCUUAGUGUAAGCCAAAUUAUUCCCCAGGAAUGCAGCGGGCCCGGUCUGAAAUGGCUGUUUAUUCAGCAGAGAUUCAAGAAUGUGGAGAAACCUCUGCCGAGGGAUGACCUGUACAUCUGCCCAGCAGAGAGAGACGGAAAACAACAGCAGAGAACUACAGCUCAUCCAGCUGCUCCAACUUUGUGGAGGUCAACCUUUGUCUUCAGUACCGGGGGAUCUGGCCAGGCUCAAACUCCACGCUGCUAACCCAUUUCGUCUCAUGUCAGGAUCCCUGGGACUACCUCUCUAUUCAAAGUGGAAGGUUUCCCUCUCUCCUUCUACCUCACCCUCUGUAGCCUGUUUGCAUCUCUAGUCCCUUUCAUAAUUCUAUCAAUGGCAUAAUUCUAUCAUAAUUCUAUCAAUGGUAAUUACUGACAGCACUGCUGUCAUUUCUGAGGGAGGGAAGGCGGGGGAGAGAGAGAUACGUCUCCAUCAACAAGGCAGCUCAUUCUGUUGGUUGGCUGUCACAGAGGAGUCCCACCGUAGGACAGCUGGGCGGCUGGUCCUGAAUGUCCAGGAGACACGCUGCUCCUGGCCCUGUCCUGUCCUGGCUCUGACCCCCCUGGCCUUUUAACUUCCUCAUCCCUAUACUAUUAUUUAUUUUAUUUAUUUUGCUCCUUUAUACCCCAGUAUCUCUACUUGCACACUCAUCUUCAGCACAUCUAUCAGUCCAGUGUUAAAUUGCUAAAUUGUAAUUAUUUCGCCACUAUGGCCUAUUUAUUGCCCUACUUCCCUUAUCCUACCUCAUUUGCACACACUGUAUAUAGACCUUUUCUACUGUAUUAUUGGCUGUAUGUUUGUUUAUUCCAUGUGUAACUCUGUGUUGUUGUCUGUGUCGCACUGCUUUGCUUUAUCUUGGCCAGGUCGCAGUUGUAAAUGAGGACUUGUUCUCAACUAGCCUACCUGGUUAAAUAAAGGUGAAAUAUAUAUAUAUAUUUUUUCAAUCAGCCAUCAAACCUAUUUAUUCCAGUGCGUGGGGUCAUCAGGGCUUGACAGCUCCCAAUGCUGCUCCACUCUGCCAAGACAGACACCAUCAAAAGCACAGUCUUUCACCUCCCCCAUCUGACAUACAAACACACUGUGGGAUGUAGAGUAGGUCAGGAAAAGAUAGCCCCGUGUAAUGUCUUUACCUGUUUCAAAAAUGUAAGCACAUUUUUUUAAAUAAAAAAAUGAAAACUACAGUGAAUCUGCAAGUUAAGUUUUAUUUGUGUGGGUUAACUCUGAUAGUACACACGCAGCAAUGCUAUUUAAGGACAGAUAGACUAUGGUAACAGUGUGCAUAAGCAUUGACUGUAGGCCUGAGGAAGCCUGGGCCUCUAGUAGGAGCCUAUGCUGCCUGUGUGCUCCCAGCUUCCCUGCUGUCCUUAUAUCUCCUGCCUGCCAGCCCCUGACAACAGCUAGCGCAGGGAGACGACACCGGAGCACAAUGAGGAACCCUGCCAUUUGUCAGUUAAGAUUGGUGUACCUUUGUCCCCAGUCAAUGACUGUCAGUAGCUCUACAAGUUAAUAUUUGCUUCCGUCUUCUCAUAAAUUUGCAUGGCAUUAAAAACCUGACCUAAAUGCAUGUUUAACACCCCCAGUAAUUAGCAGAGCAUUUCAUAGUGGGAGGGAGAGAGAUAACAGGCUGCUGAUUCCUCCCUGGCUGACUGUGACCUGGCUGGGCUGGGAGAGAAAAGAAGAGAGGAGAACAGGAUGGGAGGCAAGGAUGAAAAGAGGGAAUAAACAGGGCUGGUGUACUGCCUCUUUAAUCUAGUACAUUAACUCUGCACUACACCACACAGGGAGGAGCCAGCAUGAAGGGAAAUAGCCCCUCCAACACAAAGGGGGAGUGUCAAUGAGGGGGCAAUAAGGAAAGACAAUGAGUAAACAAGCUGGGGAAAGUCCAGACCAGGCCUGGCGUGUUAGUAAAACUCCCUGCCUCCCCUCUCCUCAACCAGGCUGGCACGGACACAAUAGCCCCAGUGUAAUUAGCCACCCAAUUGGUUGUUUAGCAUUUGCAUAUAAAUGCCCUCACAGACCAGUGCUAAACACGCUGACACAAGCUGUGCCCAAAACAGACGUUCGCCAUACCUCUUCCCCUCUAGGGGGUCCCAGGGGCCCUCUUGUGACAGGGUAGUACCCCCCUCCCUGCGCCUCGUGCCUGCUCUGGCUGCAGGCUGGUACUCAUGGCAUGGCAUAAGUGAAUGGGGCGGUGCGGUAAAGGGUAGCCGGGUACUCGACUUCACAUGGUUCCUGUUUCUAGUGAGGUUGUGAAACAGUGCAGCCAGGCUUCCUGUUGAAGGCCCACACAGCCAGUCGUCAUGACAAAGUACACUUUCUGACACUAGCCACAUUACUGGGGGGAUAAACAGGGGGGGUGCAGGUGGUGUGCACACACAUACACACACGCACCACACAUACACACACACACACACACACACACACACAAGCAUACACACACACCCUCUACAGCACACACACAUGCACCGGAUUGUCCUGAGGAAACCAGAGGUCUGCGGAGUGUGAGAAAGUGUGUUCUCUGCUGAUCAGGGUCAAAACACACAGGCUUGUUUAAUGUGACCUGACUUACACAGAGAAGGAGAGAGAGGAGAGAUAGGGGGAUUUGGCAGAGCAGACCAAGCUCAGAGAUUAGACUAGUCAGUCAGACCACUUUUACACGGUGCUUCACAUUGAAGAGGAGAUACACCAGAUACAGUGUUUUAACCAUGUCUAUAAAUCUGGAGUUUCUAUACAUAAUGUUGGAACAAUGUCUUUGUAUGAGGGCUCCUUUGUUCACCAUUUACAUGUCAUUUUCUGUCCACACUGUUGUUAUGACAAUGGUGAUUCAUAAAAAAAUCUAAAGAACGGAAGGAAGUGAUGGGACUGGUGUCUGUGCCCCCCCCCCAUCCUCGCCAAUAUAAACAAAGCCUGUGUCACCUACAAACUGGCCCUGCUGCUGAGAGAGGACAAGAGCCAGAGCCUCUCUCCCAGGCUUGCUAAUAACUAGUCUGCUCUGGCACAGAAUAGAAGAGAGAACCACCGCACAGAGGGGACACUUCCUGUUUCAUCCCCCAGCCCCGAGCAACCCUCCACAAGCCUCUACAGCCCCAGAGAGCAGGCNNNNNNNNNNGAAGGAAGUGAUGGGACUGGUGUCUGUGCCCCCCCCCCAUCCUCGCCAAUAUAAACAAAGCCUGUGUCACCUACAAACUGGCCCUGCUGCUGAGAGAGGACAAGAGCCAGAGCCUCUCUCCCAGGCUUGCUAAUAACUAGUCUGCUCUGGCACAGAAUAGAAGAGAGAACCACCGCACAGAGGGGACACUUCCUGUUUCAUCCCCCAGCCCCGAGCAACCCUCCACAAGCCUCUACAGCCCCAG
rnacentral:lncRNA from 13 species